rnacentral:tRNA from 13 species
GCUCAUAUAGCUCAGUAGGUAGAGCACUUCCUUGGUAAGGAAGAGGUCACCGGUUCGAAUCCGGUUAUGAGCUCCA